rnacentral:sRNA from 1 species
CAUAUCGAUACUUUCGUUUCAUGUGCUCCAUUGUAAAGCGUUGAAAGGAAGAAAACACACACAUAUUCCAUUCCAUAUUCUAAACAUGAUGGCACCGCCUCAAAGUACCGCUGGUAUGGGUGCAGACGAGUCGGCCCUCGGACACGCACUACGAGGGCGGGAACUUUGAACUACGCCUACACUUUUCCCAGACGUACCCGUCUCAACCACCGUUUUUACUGUUCCGUACAAGGGUCUACCAUUGCAAUAUACACCACGGGGCUAUCUGGGCUGGGCUCAAAUUGGUCGCCUGCCCUGACCGUGGAGAAGCUACUUUUGUCCAUCCGAUCGCUGCUCUCGAAGCCCAAUCCGGAGCCCAUUGCGCCGCUGCUGAAAUGCUCAAGGACCGCGAGCAGCGCGACCGCUUGGCUCGCGAGUAGACUCAAGGUCAGAAUAAUCCUAAACAUCUCAUCCACGGAUACACAUUUUCCAAAUUCUUUGAUCACCUUUGUUAGCAUCUGCCACUAACCCACACAUGAACAUGAGCUACAUGGUAACAUUAUAUACAAUUCAUUUUUGACUGAAAUAAAGGCUGUGAAAAUGUUUCGUA